rnacentral:rRNA from 1 species
UACGUAGGGUGCAAGCGUUAAUCGGAAUUACUGGGCGUAAAGCGUGCGCAGGCGGUGAUGUAAGACAGGUGUGAAAUCCCCGGGCUUAACCUGGGAACUGCAUUUGUGACUGCAUCGCUGGAGUGCGGCAGAGGGGGAUGGAAUUCCGCGUGUAGCAGUGAAAUGCGUAGAUAUGCGGAGGAACACCGUUGGCGAAGGCAAUCCCCUGGGCCUGCACUGACGCUCAUGCACGAAAGCGUGGGGAGCAAACAGG